rnacentral:sRNA from 1 species
CAAUUUCUAGCAAGGAGGACACAAAGUGUAACAAUGACAACGAAAUUUGUUUUUCUUCUAUUUGUGACUUUCGUCUUAGCUCAAGGUAUUACCUGGGCAGUAAGAUGUCCUAAUGUUGUCUACUGUUUUGCUGAGCCCUGUCUGAUCGCUCGUUGCUCGAUACCCUAUGCUAGAUGCAUAAAUGACUACUGUGGUGGUUGUUUUGCAAGAUGGUUUGUAGGUCACUAUGAGGUGACACGGAGAUGCUAAUGGCGACAGUGUGGAAGUUAAAAACAAGACAGAAGUGACUGACUGACUUCACCAAGAAAGUAAAUAAAAAAUAA